AUUGAACGCUGGCGGCAGGCCUAACACAUGCAAGUCGAGCGGCAGCGGAAAGUAGCUUGCUACUUUGCCGGCGAGCGGCGGACGGGUAAGUAAUGUCUGGGAAACUGCCUGAUGGAGGGGGAUAACUACUGGAAACGGUAGCUAAUACCGCAUAACGUCGCAAGACCAAAGAGGGGGACCUUCGGGCCUCUUGCCAUCAGAUGUGCCCAGAUGGGAUUAGCUGGUAGGUGGGGUAACGGCUCACCUAGGCGACGAUCCCUAGCUGGUCUGAGAGGAUGACCAGCCACACUGGAACUGAGACACGGUCCAGACUCCUACGGGAGGCAGCAGUGGGGAAUAUUGCACAAUGGGCGCAAGCCUGAUGCAGCCAUGCCGCGUGUAUGAAGAAGGCCUUAGGGUUGUAAAGUACUUUCAGCGGGGAGGAAGGUGUUGAGGUUAAUAACCUCAGCAAUUGACGUUACCCGCAGAAGAAGCACCGGCUAACUCCGUGCCAGCCGCCGCAGUAA
rnacentral:rRNA from 1 species